rnacentral:misc_RNA from 1 species
AAUUCUCAAUCCCUCUCACUUUUUUUGGGUGAAGAUGGGCUUGGAUUUUGGAGGCUUGCUGUUGAUAAUAAAACAGCUCCUCUCAAUUGCAUUAGCUGGAACCUUUGUGGAUCUUCAGUCCCCUAGUGUGAUAAUUGUCUACGCUGUGGGGUUGUUGAGACCUGAUCAUGUCUUUCUGAUGUGAGGUUCUGCUUCUAGCCGUCUCUUUGCUGAGACAAAGCUCUUUUGAC